GAGACGGUGGAGCCAGAAAGGCGCCAGCGGCGCAGAGACGUUUGCGGGCAGGCGGGGGCUUCGCGUCUCGUUGGCGGGAAGCGGAAUGAGCUUUGUGAUAGUCUGAGGUCCAUGAAGGGAUUAAAAGCAGGAACUGGCUCCUUUUCCAACCACUGAAGCCUCAUCUGGGCCCACAAGCUCUUGCUGUUCCCUGGAGCGUGACUAGAAGAUGAAGAAGGAAAAUAAAGUAUGCAUUUUAUGACACAACCCAGCUUGCAGGGAUGAAGUAGAAGGUCCUCACUGUACCUCAUGGCAGGCUGCUGACGGCAGAUAUUUAACCUGGCUCACUGAACUGGGCAGUCAGGGAAGGGUCGGCUCCUGCUCUGUCCAGCUCUCUUCAUAAGGGACUCUGUGAUACUUUUUAUAAAAAUGACUUUGAUUUCUGCAGAAGAAGGCUUGCCAAGCUUGCUGUCCAGCAGUGGCUGCUGCAGGGAAUUACUCAGAUGGCAGCAAGAGAACCCUGGCUCCCUGGACCAGGACAUUCCCCUCAUGUGUGUUGGAAUGAGAGCAGGAAGAACGCUGGUCGGAAGUCCCUACCCAGGGCUCUGGGACUUCAGUGUUCUCAGACCAACUGGGCCACUCCUCUGAGUUGGGAUGCUGACCCACACUUGGCCCUGGCUGCGGCAUCCCCAGGACGCUGCCCUUAGCCGUCAUCUCGUUGGGGCUGGGGGCUGAGCAGGUCACACCGAACAAAAGGAGUGUGUCCCCAUCACUAAGCUCACAUCUGAGUUCUCUUCCACAGAAUUUGGUAACAAAGUCAGAAACGAGACUGAAGAUGAUUCUGGAGGCCACUGGGAACCUCCCAGAAUGAUUCUGCAGGCUUCUGGGAAGCUGGAAAACCCCAAGGCCAGACUGGCCUCUGAGAAUGCCCAAGUCCUUUAGAUUCCACUGGAAAAGCCAUCCAUCGGUGCCAAGUGUGUGGAGAGCUUCAAGAGCCAUACAGCCCUGGCCAUCCAUGAGCACAUCCAUGUGGGGGAGUGGCCCUGAAAGUGUCCUAGUGUGGCAAAGGCUUCCCACUAAGUGGACCUCAGAUGGCACAGGAAGACCCUCCUGGGGAUGUGGGAGGACACUGCCUAGGCGGUGAGGGGCCGCUUUUUCAGGUGUGCACAUUAAACGCAGACACAGCCUCUCUUGGCUGCCAAGAAGCCUCUGCAGGGCCCAGGACCACGGAACACUUGCAAACUGUCACUACCCAGAGGCCUGCGCCUGUCUGGAGUGUGCCCAGUGUGUCUGCGCCUCUCAGCUUAUCUGGACUCAGCAGCACAGCCGCAGCACUGCAGGGCCCUUCUGUUGCUGUGAGUGCCAGGGCACUUGCUGGCUGCCUGCGCAACGCAAAAGGUUCAAAACAGGAAGUCUCUGGGCAGCUAUUCCCAGGCGCAGAGAGGAGCAGUGGCCACGCAGGUGCCAGUGUGGCAGGAGCUGCAGUCAGAGGCAGCAUCUCCAGAGCCCUGGGAGCAGAGGCCAGCCACAUGAAGCCCACGAGUGUCGCUGGCAUGGGAAAGGGACAUGAGGAUCACACUGACCCAAGAGAAGGCCCACAGUGAGGAGGCCCCACCGAAGCGUCCCCAGCAACAGGGGCUGAGACAUCUGAGGCAGCCAGCCCACUCGGAAAGGCCUGCUGACUGCACUCCGGAUGUCAAGAGGACCCUUGGGAAAAAGAAAGGCAGGAGUGCAGCACCUUCCAGAGCCUCAGCUCGCUUCUCUCCUUCUAGCUCCGGCUGGAGUGAUGGAAGAGGCUGUGCUGAGAGCUACCUCCCUGGGAGCCUACCCUGCCCAGCCUGAGCGUGGAGGCUACCGGCACUGCGCUUCCCCUAGUGAAAUCCAUCUUCCCAAAGGAACCCUGGGAAGGGGUCAAGGAGACCCUGUUCACCCCCACCACGGGGUCAGGUCUUCACCGCAUGGAGGCCGCACGGAUUCCCAGUCACAAACCCAAAGCCUUGCUGCCUGUGCCUCUGCUUCGAUAGUUGUUUCAAUGUCUUUUUUAAAAAAAUCACAUACACUCGAGUAAGAUUGAGUCUCCUCACCGAAGAGAUCUGGCUGUAUCCCGAGUCUCUGAAACCUUUGCUGCAGUCCCGUGGGAGCAUGCCACGCAGAGGAUGUGGGGCCGCAAGGGCUCGCCAGAGGGAUCUCAGGAGUUAGGCCUCAAGGAGCGCUGCUGAGUGACAGGUCUGAUGCAGCAGCUUUUACUACUGGUGGAAAUCGAUGUUUUUUCCUUCAAAGUCUAACUUUUUAAUUUCAGUAAACCAAAUUAGAUCAUGUAUGUGAAAGCACUUUGUAAACUAUACAGUACUCUAGAAAAGGCAGCCAAGCCCUUAAUUAUAACUCACCAAAUAGCCAACUCUCAUCUCUACCUUGUAUCUGGCAAAAAUGAUUGAGCUCACUAUGAAGGACUAGAGAGGAAAGAAACUGAAAGACAAAAACCAGGUGAACACACAGGCACUUCCCCUGCCCACCUCUGUUCCUGGCCCUCUCCCCUCUUGAGCGAGGGCAGAGCUCGUUCCGUCCGCUUCUCCGAGCUCCUGGUCCUUGCUUAGGGACACACAAGACAGAGAUGUGUUGAAAUAGACUCUGCUUUAUUCAGGUAGCAAAAGGUUAGGAAUCAAACAUGGUCUUUAAAACCUCCUUUCAUCUUUGAAAAUGGAGGAGAGAACAUCCCUGGGCCAGUUCGUGUACCUGCCCCUCCACGCUGUUCUGGUAGGUACUUAGCACCCCAGAAACCCACCCUCUGCAGGAGAGAGAAGCAAGGUUCUGGAGCGUGGUCACAUACUCUAAGGUAUCUUCCAGGACAGGGGGCUGGCUCCCUCUCUCCCACCUGCAGUCGCUAUGGCUACUGGGAUCAAACUACCAGUUACAUACUGGUUACUUGGAAUGUCAGACCCGGUGGGCAUCAGUCAUCAGGGAGAGGGAGGGGAAAUGCCAGGACACGUACAUACGGAUGCUGUCAAGACUACAGGCAAGGAGGAAGGUGGCGACAAGCGCUGGGACUCCAGCCAAAGCGGGAGUGCGUGCUCCUUCCACUCCCAGAGCCCUGUGGUUUUUCUUCUUGUGAGGCAUGAACAGGAAGCCUCUCCAACAAGGGGGUCUCCGGGCACUAGGGGCUGAAACUCAGCCAGCCUCUCCAAACAAAGCAAAGGGGCCGGCCUGGGCCAGGGCCUCGGAUAAGGACGCUCACUGUGUUUCCCCGGGAGUCCUGAAUGAGGAAGUUCAGGAAUGAGACGGGCCUCGGAUAAGGACGCUCACUGUGUUUCCCCGGGAGUCCUGAAUGAGGAAGUUCAGGAAUGAGACGGCAGUCAUCUUCUUCCUUCUUGGUCAUUGGCUGACAAAGGGGAACGGAGCAGGCCUGCGCCCCUCGAGAAAUCGGGUAGUGUUCUCAGUGGCCCCGCUGCAAGGGGACCGCUUUUCCCACCACCUAAGGAAGGCACUGGACGGUGUCCUCGGAGCACGCUGAUGCUGACGUGGAGAGGGCGAGGGGCUUCCCCUGGCUUCCACCUCAGCUCCAGAACUGCUCCCACAGAGACCCACUCACGGCUGCUCACAGGAUGGCCCCCUGCUCUGAGGGAUUCUUCAAGGAUGAAGAGGCCGCGGGAAGCGUGUGUGCUGGAACAGCACCUUGAUGUGGAAUCCCUGUGGGUAGGGCAGAGGCUACAGCCCCACCUAAAAAAGCCUUUCUCCCUCCCCUUCCACCAGUUCACAUCCACAGUGCCUGACCUGGGCAAGUUCCUGAACGCCCAUGGAGACGGUGAUGGAAAGAGGGAGGCCUGUGCAUGUCUUAGCCACGUGGAUAGUAACACCUCCCAGAGCUCCCGCACCACAGGCCUGAGGGGUGCCUCUGACCGCCAGACCCACAGGGCUGGGAGACGUUUCCACAGGUCAAAGGCAGAAAGCAAGAAAGGAAUUCCUGACUAGAACUGAAAACGGCAGGAAAGCAACAGUGCUGAGGCUAAGUGCUGGGGUGGGGGAUGAAAAGGCAUAUGGGGUACUGGGCACCUGCAGUACUGGGGAGGGGCUUGGACGCCAGCAUCUACCCUGGGAAUGGGAAGGGUACUCAGACAGCAGCUUCUACCCUGGGAAUAGGAAGGGACUCAGGUGCUCAGAUGCCAGCAUCUACCCUGGGAAUGGGAAGGGUACUCAGACAGCAGCUUCUACCCUGGGAAUAGGAAGGGUACUCAGGUGCUCAGAUGCCAGCAUCUACCCUGGGAAUGGGAAGCAGCAGAUUAUGGAGAAAGGGCCCACCCACAGGGGCCUGCGGCACAGCACAGGACCUGCCUGAGUCAGGCAGCAAGCAAACUGGGAUGGAUGGCACCCACUUCCUGCCUGUUUAAAACAAGUGUCAGGCAGGGCAGAGAAGCCCUGAGUGCUGACUUUCCUUAUUUCCUGCCCAUGGUUAAGGAAGGCAGAACCUAGACAAAAUCAUCCCCCUUCUGAGCCUGCCAAGAUGGAGCUGCCCCGGAAGGAAAAGUGCUUCGCUUUAGGUGGAAGAUGGGCAAGGAGGGUGUGAACCUAGCAGUGCCGGAAGCCCCUCUGUGCCUCUAGGGCGGUGCUUCUAUGGUUCUGAAGCGGGAGCAGGCCCACAGACCCUGGAGGAGCUUGUUCAAAGCCCUUGUCACUGAGUCCCCAUUCCGGGAUGUCUCAGUGGGCCCUGGCGAUCCUGGUGCAGAGUCCCCAGGGCAAUUCGGAGAAGAGUGGACUAGCCUGUCAUGCAGAUGGUGCAUUCAGAGAGCAACUCCUACAACAAGGACUUUGGAGACAAAUUCCUACCUGUCCCACUAAGGACGAGGAUGGGGCGGAAGGCAGGGCCACCCUGCUUCCUACAGAGCCUCUGUCAACCAUGAGACCCAAUCCCAUUUCUGAUGACCACAGACUCAGAAGUGAAAACUGGGAGCAGCAACAGCUGGAAGGAGACCAGCUAGAGACGCCAGGAGAGAGAACACUGCUCCAUCCUUGUCAAGUGACCAUGAGUGGUCUGCAGAACCCCAACAACCGGCAUAUUUUCUUUGGUUUUCAGUCACUACCUGAAGACAGAACAUUUCUUAUCUGUGGCUUUCAGUAACUUUCCCUCCCUUCUAAUACAGCUUCCCCUCAAGCAAGUCCCUGACCCCAGCCCUCCGGUCCAGAGAGGCUGUUUCUGUUCGCCCCUGCCCUGUGAGAUUCCUGCCUGAAAGCCCCACCAUCUCCUCCGCAUCUCACCUCCUCCACAGCCACGCGGACCUCUUCCCUCUUGAAAAUUCCUGCCCAGUCCAGAGUCAACCAGCCCCACUUAGAAUGUGAUGGCGCUGCCUGGGGCUGGUCAGCCCUCUCCUUACUCCCAGCAGUGGUCCUGACCUUUAACCAGCGCCGUUUGCACCACCUGCCAGGCAUUGUCCUGAGUGCUUUACAUGCACCACUCAUUUGGCAAAUGAGAAACCAAGGCAUAAGGGGAUAAACUUGCCCAAGGCCACACAGCCAGUUGGGGGCAGAGCCAGCAGAGCACUGUCACCAGGGCAGACAGGCUCUAUAAAUGCAUGCUCUCUGCACUAAGCUCUGCUGCCUAGAGCACAUGUGUGUCAUCUCCCUGGCAGGGGCACAAGGUCCUGGAGGGUGGACGUCACGCAUCGAGUACCCACUGGCCUAGCAAAUGGGUGGGCGCAUGACAGAAGCUCCACAGGCACCUGCAGUCCUGUCU